GCACCGAUCGUUUAGUGAGUAAGACGCCGCCUUUGCAAGUCGGAGACGGGGGUGCAAGUCCCUCUCGGUGCA
rnacentral:tRNA from 1 species